UACGUAGGGUGCGAGCGUUGUCCGGAAUUAUUGGGCGUAAAGAGCUCGUAGGCGGUUUGUCGCGUCGACUGUGAAAAACCCGAGGCUUAACCUCGGGCCUGCAGUCGAUACGGGCAGACUAGAGUUCGGUAGGGGAGACUGGAAUUCCUGGUGUAGCGGUGAAAUGCGCAGAUAUCAGGAGGAACACCGGUGGCGAAGGCGGGUCUCUGGGCCGAUACUGACGCUGAGGAGCGAAAAGCGUGGGGGAGCGAACAGG
rnacentral:rRNA from 1 species